rnacentral:rRNA from 1 species
GACGAACGCUGGCGGCGUGCUUAACACAUGCAAGUCGAACGGAAAGGCCCUGCUUGCAGGGUACUCGAGUGGCGAACGGGUGAGUAACACGUGGGUGAUCUGCCCUGCACUUCUGGAUAAGCCUUGGAAACUGGGUCUAAUACCGGAUAGGAGCCAUUUUUAGUGUGUUGGUUGGAAAGUUUUUUCGGUGUAGGAUGAGCUCGCGGCCUAUUAGCUUGUUGGUGGGGUAAUGGCCUACCAACGCGGCGACGGGUAGCCGGCCUGGGAGGGUGGACGGCCACCUUGGGACUGAGAGAAGGCCCAGGCGCCGAAGGGAGGCAGCAGGGGGGAAUAUUGAACAAUGGGCGCAAGCCUGAUGAAGAGACGCCGCGUGGGGGAUGACCGCCUUCGGGUUGUAAAAUACUUUCGCUAGGGACGAAGCUUUUUGUGACGGUACCUAGAUAAGAAGCACCGGCUAACUACGUG